rnacentral:rRNA from 1 species
AACGAACGCUGGCGGCAUGCCUAACACAUGCAAGUCGAACGAGUGCCUUCGGGUGCUAGUGGCGCACGGGUGCGUAACGCGUGGGAAUCUGCCCUGGGGUCUGGAAUAACGGUGAGAAAUUACCGCUAAUACCGGAUGAUAUCGCGAGAUCAAAGAUUUAUCGCCCUGGGAUGAGCCCGCGUAGGAUUAGCUAGUUGGUGUGGUAAGAGCGCACCAAGGCGACGAUCCUUAGCUGGUCUGAGAGGAUGAUCAGCCACACUGGGACUGAGACACGGCCCAGACUCCUACGGGAGGCAGCAGUGGGGAAUAUUGGACAAUGGGCGCAAGCUUGAUCCAGCAAUGCCGCGUGAGUGAUGAAGGCCUUAGGGUUGUAAAGCUCUUUUACCCGGGAUGAUAAUGACAGUACCGGGAGAAUAAGCUCCGGCUAACUCCGUGCCAGCAGCCGCCGUAA